ACUAGAGUAGCACUCGCAUAUCAAUAAGCGGAGGAAAAGAAACUAACAAGGAUUCCCCUAGUAACGGCGAGUGAAGCGGGAAGAGCUCAAAUUUGAAGUCUUAAAGGGUUUCCCUUUACGAAUUGUAGUUUAAAGAAGUGUUUUCUGUUGAGGUCUUGGUAAAAGUUCUUUGGAAUAGGACAUCAUAGAGGGUGAGAAUCCCGUAUUUGACCUUUACUUUCAACUUUGUGAUACACUUUCAAAGAGUCGGAUUGUUUGGGAAUGCAGUCCAAAAAUGGGUGGUAAAUUUCAUCUAAAGCUAAAUAUUGGCGAGAGACCGAUAGCGAACAAGUACCGUGAGGGAAAGAUGAAAAGAACUUUGAAAGGAGAGUUAAACAGUACGUGAAAUUGUCAAAAGGGAAGCGUUUGACACCAGUGUUGUUUUUUCUGAAAAUCAAUUAAAGAACUGUUUAUGCUAAGCUGUUUAGACUUUAUCAGCUAUCUGCUUUAGUUUUGAGCUUUUCUUUAAUGCACUUUUCAGUUAACAAGUCAACAUCAAUUUCUUUUGCUGUAGAAAAAGCUUGAGGAAGGUGGCUUGAGAUUCGUCUUAAGUGUUUAUAGCCUCUUGCCUAUGCAGUCGGAGAGAUUGAGGUCUGCAGCGUAGAUCCUUCGGGGCUAAAUGCAUUUGUGCUAAGUUAUAGCAUUUUAUAGACAACUUGUUGACUAUGAUUUGUCUUGUAGCUUACUCGCUUAUGUUAUUUUACCUACGCUUAGGAUGUUGAGCGCAUGUCUCUCUCU
rnacentral:rRNA from 1 species